GCUGGGCGGGGCUGGAGCCUGCACUGGGCGACGCUUACGCUUACGGCGGCCGCUGCGCCCCGUCACAUCUAGCAAUGGAGAAGAAGAGAUAGAGUGUGCAAGGGCAUGAAGAAAAGGACUGGGACUAUUUUCAAAUCAUCAACUGCACUACUAAAAAAGUAAUCACAGAUAAGGAAAUUAAGGAGUCAAAGGGGUUCAGCAUUUUUUCCGUAGUCACAUUACUGGGAAGUGGCAGAUCUAACCAGAAUAUUAAAAUAUUUACACUGCACCCUGCUUGGCUAGGAUAAGUAUGGAACAAUGGUGAGACCCCUGCCUGAAAGUCAGAAAACCCAUGUUCUAGUCUUAGAGAGAUCAUUGAGUCUUUUACUCUAGGAAAGGCGUAUAGAUUGAAGUCUCUGUUGGGGUCAUAAUUUCCUCUCAAGCCUCCUGUUGUUUCUGAUUAGUAGACUGUGCAUACAAUUGACAUUUACUGAGGAUUACUUUAAGUAAGAUUGUCCAUAGUAAAUAUUAGCUGUGGGACUCUAAUUUCUUUCAGAGGUGGUGCUAUUACUUUUCAAUAUAAUGGGAAUGAAAAGAAAGCAUUAACUUUCAAUUCUCAAAAGAUUUAUAUAAUUUGUGAGUCAUAUACUGUAAGUAAUCAGAUGUUCAGAAACACUUAAAGAAGCUCCAGGGAUAACGCCAGCUUCUACUCUGGAGUCGGAGUUAAUGCACUUCCCAUGCAGAAUGAGCUGAGCAGUCAGAGUGCUUAUCUGAGUAAUUGAGGCAAAACUUGUGGGUUUUAAAAAUAUGCCUGAAUUUCGUAGAUAAUUAUACCAACUCUUAUUUCACUGGAGACUUACAGAAUGACCCUAUAGUCAUAGAUUAACUAUGACUAACUUAAACUUUCAGAAGAAUGAAUCCAUGCAUAUAAAUGAGGAUGUGGUAUAAAUUAAGUUUCCUUUGGGUCAUGAUUCACCUUUUCUAUCUUCUCUUUUCCACAAGUAUUAUUUUUCUUUUAUGAAUCAUCAUACACUCACAGCAAGGAAGGCAUUACAAAAUCACUAGUGUCAUCAAAUCUUAUUCUUGAUACCCUACAAUCAGGCUGUUUUGUGAGCUUCAGUUUGACUUAUGAUUCCCCCCACCACCAAAAGAAGUAUCAGGUUUUCUCCUAUAAUCUCUCUAUUCUACAUGAGAAUAGGAAGGCCGCUCUAGGUUAUCAACACACUGUUGGUGCCUAAGAAUUGCCUCUGAAACAACUGUGGUGGGAAUUUUAAGUAGAUUAUCUCCUUUGAACUUCACAGCAUGUUUAGAUGCUAUGGCUUGGCCAAAUACAUAAUUUCCCUCUGUGCGCAGGGUACCAGGAUUCACAUCUACGUUGCCUGACUUUGAAGCCCAUGCUUUUCCUACAGCUCCAUGCUUCUAAGAGGUAUUCUGAAGCAAAGUGCAAGGCUUUCUAGUUAAGUCAAGUCCGUGGUUGAGAGGGAUUGUACAAUGAGCUGUGUGAGGACCUGAGAGCUGAGAAAUGGAGAUUAUUAGGGAAGAACCAAGGGAAGGAUGAGAAGUGUUCAGGAGAAGAAGUGUGAUGGGGGGAGAUGAGAAAGCCAUGAUUUUUUUCUGCGCUGUAAUUUU